UACGGGGGGGGCAAGCGUUGUUCGGAAUUACUGGGCGUAAAGGGCUCGUAGGUGGCCAACUAAGUCAGACGUGAAAUCCCUCGGCUUAACCGGGGAACUGCAUCUGAUACUGGAUGGCUUGAGAUUGGGAGAGGGAUGCGGAAUUCCAGGUGUAGCGGUGAAAUGCGUAGAUAUCUGGAGGAACACCGGUGGCGAAGGCGGCAUCCUGGACCAACACUGACACUGAGGAGCGAAAGCGUGGGGAGCAAACAGG
rnacentral:rRNA from 1 species